rnacentral:rRNA from 1 species
UACGGAGGGUGCUAGCGUUGUUCGGAAUCACUGGGCGUAAAGGGCGUGUAGGCGGUCUGUUAAGUCUGAUGUGAAAUCCCCUCGCUCAACGAGGGAACUGCGUCGGAUACUGGAUGGCUUGAAUCCGGGAGAGGGAUGCGGAAUUCCAGGUGUAGCGGUGAAAUGCGUAGAUAUCUGGAGGAACACCGGUGGCGAAGGCGGCAUCCUGGACCGGCAUUGACGCUGAGGAGCGAAAGCCAGGGGAGCAAACGGG